GACGAACGCUGGCGGCGUGCCUAAUACAUGCAAGUAGAACGCAGUUGCGAACGGGUGAGUAACGCGUAGGUAACUGCCUCAUAGCGGGGGAUAACGAUUGGAAACGAUAGCUAAUACCGCAUACUUUGAGAUGGACCUGCGGUUGAUUAGCCAGUUGGUGAGGUAAAUGCUCACCAAGGAGACGGUACAUAGCCGAACUGAGAGGGUGAACUGCCAAACUUGGACUGAGGCACGGCCCAGACUCCUACGGGAGGGCGCAGUAGGGAAUCUUUGGCAAUGGACGGAAGUCUGACCGAGCAAAGCCGCGUGAGUGAAGAAGGUUUUCGGAUCGUAAAGCUCUGUUGUUAGAGAAGCGGUAUCUAACCAGAAAGGGACGGCUAACUACGUGCCAGCCGCCGCGGUAAUAC
rnacentral:rRNA from 1 species